rnacentral:misc_RNA from 1 species
GAUGAAGAACGCAGCGAAAUGCGAUAAGUAGUGUGAAUUGCAGAAUUCAGUGAAUCAUCGAAUCUUUGAACGCACAUUGCGCCCUUUGGUAUUCCAAAGGGCAUGCCUGUUCGAGCGUCAUUUGUACCCUCAAGCUUUGCUUGGUGUUGGGCGUCUUGUCUCUAGCUUUGCUGGAGACUCGCCUUAAAGUAAUUGGCAGCCGGCCUACUGGUUUCGGAGCGCAGCACAAGUCGCACUCUCUAUCAGCAAAGGUCUAGCAUCCAUUAAGCCUUUUUUUCAACUUUUGACCUCGGAUCAGGUAGGGAUACCCGCUGAACUUAAGCAUAUCAAUAAUCGGAGGA